rnacentral:rRNA from 1 species
AUUGAACGCUGGCGGCAUGCUUUACACAUGCAAGUCGAACGGUAACAGGUUAAGCUGUCGAGUGGUGAACGGGCGAGUAAUGCACCGGAACGUGCCCGGUCGUGGGGGAUAACGCAGCGAAGGCUGCGCCAAUACCGCAGACGAUCAGAGGCUGAAAGCGGGGGACCGUAAGGCCUCGCGCGAUUGGAACGGCGCAGGUCAGGUUAGGUAGUUGGUGGGGUAAAGGCUCACCAAGCCGACGAUCUGUAGCUGGUAUGAGAGGACGACCAGCCACACUGGGACUGAGACACGGCCCAGACUCCUACGGAAGGCAGCAGUGGGGAAUUUUGGACAAUGGGCGAAAGCCUGAUCCAGCAAUGCCGCGUGCAGGAAGAAGGCCUUCGGGUUGUAAACUGCUUUUGUACGGAGCGAAAAGGUCUCCUCUAAUACAGGGGGCUCAUGACGGUACCGUAAGAAUAAGCACCGGCUAACUACGUGCCAGCCGCCGCAGUAA